GACGAACGCUGGCGGCGUGCUUAACACAUGCAAGUCGAGCGGAGCGGCGAACGGGUGAGUAACGCGUGAGUAACUGCCCCCCUCUCUGGGAUACCAGUUGAAAACGGCUGCUAAUACCGGAUAGUGGGGGAUGACUCGCGUCCAAUCAGCUUGUGGGUGGGGUAGUGGCCUACCAAGGCGACGACGGGUAGCCGGCCUGAGAGGGCGCCCGGGCCCAUUGGUCUGAGAGACGGCCCAAACUCCUACGGGAGGCAGCAGGGGGGAAUAUUGCACAAUGGGGGAAACUCUGAUGCAGAAACGCGCGUGCGGGAUGACGGCCUUCGGGUGGUGAACCGCGUUCAGCCAUGACGCGGUAGUGGCAGAAGAAGCACCGGCUAACUACGUGCCAGCAGCCGCGGUAAUAC
rnacentral:rRNA from 1 species